rnacentral:rRNA from 1 species
AUCCUGGCUCAGGAUGAACGCUAGCGGCAGGCUUAACACAUGCAAGUCGAGGGGUAUAGUUCUUCGGAAUUAGAGACCGGCGCACGGGUGCGUAACGCGUAUGCAAUCUACCUUUCACAGAGGGAUAGCCCAGAGAAAUUUGGAUUAAUACCUCAUAGUAUAGCAGUUUCGCAUGAAACCACUAUUAAAGUCACAACGGUGAAAGAUGAGCAUGCGUCCCAUUAGCUAGUUGGUAAGGUAACGGCUUACCAAGGCUACGAUGGGUAGGGGUCCUGAGAGGGAGAUCCCCCACACUGGUACUGAGACACGGACCAGACUCCUACGGGAGGCAGCAGUGAGGAAUAUUGGACAAUGGGCGCAAGCCUGAUCCAACCAUGCCGCGUGCAGGAUGACGGUCCUAUGGAUUGUAAACUGCUUUAUACAGGAAGAAACACUCCGACGUGUCGGAGCUUGACGGUACUGUAAGAAUAAGGAUCGGCUAACUCCGUG